GACGAACGCUGGCGGCGUGCUUAACACAUGCAAGUCGAACGGAAAGGCUCUGCUUUUGUGGGGUGCUCGAGUGGCGAACGGGUGAGUAACACGAGAGUAACCUGCCCUUGACUUUGGGAUAAUUUCAGGAAACUGGGGCUAAUACCGGAUAGGAGCUCCAGCUGAAUGGUUGGUGUUGGAACGUGUCGUCGGUUGGGGAUGUACGCGCGGCUUAUCAGAUUGUUGGUGGGGUAGUGUCAUACCAAGGCUUUGACGAGAUGCCGGCCUGAGAGGGUGACCGGACCAACUGGAACUGAGUUCAGACCCAGUCUACUCUAGUAGGCAACACAGCAGUAUAUUGAAUAAUGGGCAGGAGCCAGAUACAAUGCAGCCACGGCGGGGAUAAGAGCAAUCGGGUUGUAACCCGAUUUCCUAUGAGAAGAAGAGAGAAUGACGGUACUAGGUUAAGAAGCACCGGCUAACUACGUG
rnacentral:rRNA from 1 species